rnacentral:rRNA from 1 species
GAUGAACGCUAGCGGCAGGCUUAAUACAUGCAAGUCGAGGGACAGCACAGGUAGCAAUACUGGGUGGUAACCGGCAAACGGGUGCGGAACACGUACACAACCUUCCUUUAAGUGGGGGAUAGCCCAGAGAAAUUUGGAUUAAUACCCCGUAAUAUAGUUGAAUGGCAUCAUUUGAUUAUUAUAGCUACGGCGCUUAAUGAUGGGUGUGCGGCUGAUUAGAUAGUUGGCGGGGUAACGGCCCACAAAGUCUACGAUCAGUAGCUGAUGUGAGAGCAUGAGCAGCGACACGGGCACUGAGAAAAGGGCCCGACUCCUACGGGAGGCAGCAGUAAGGAAUAUUGGGCAAUGGACACAAGGCUGAACCAGCCAUGCCGCGUGAAGGAUUAAGGUCCUCAGUACUGUAAACUGCGGUGAUUUGGGACGAAUACGGGCCUUUCUAGGUCAACUGAAGGUACCAGAUGAAGAAGCACCGGCUAACUCAGUGCCAGCCGCCGCCGUAAGAC